CAGGUGAACCAUAAAAAGAUCUGGGCUCUUCCUGAGAGGAGGAUGAGAAGCAUGAGAGGGAUACAACGGAGGGAGAGAUUCCACUGCUGGCUUUGGAGAUGAAAUGCCCCAUGCAAGGAUUGAGAGCAGUCUCUGGGAACUAAGAACAGCCCCCAGUCAACAACCAGCAAGGAAAUGAGAACCUCAGCCCUACAGCUACAAAAAAAACUGAAUUUGGCCAACAACCUAAAAGAGUUUGGUGAAGGAUUUUUCUCUAAAGCCUUGAUAGAGGAACACAGCUCAGCCAACACCUUGAUUUCAGCUUUCUAAGACUCUGAGCAGAGAACCUGGAGACACAGGCCCAGACCUACCAAACUGUUAGCUGAUAACUUAACUAGUGGGAAGAGUUUUGGAAACAGACAGACAAGAGUUCAAAUCCCAGUCCUGCCAUUCGCUGGCAAGUCACUUCACAUGUCUUAAUCCUAAUUUCCAGAUCUGUAAAAUGAACAUAACACUUCUUACCUCGAUGCAUUCUUGGCGGGCCUGGAGAUGGUGUGAUGCAGACUGUGGAAGGUGCUUGAUGAACAGGAGUUUUAAUUCCUCGCCCAAAUACUUGGGCUUAGCCACAGGGGGAAAGGUCUGCCCACAGCAGCAGGAAAGGGGACGGUCCCAUUACAAUAGUGCCUGGAGCAUAGUAGGCACUUAAUAAAUAUUUAAUGAAUGAAUAAAA